UCAGUAAACAGAUAAGAAGUAGGAGACAGGAUUGGCAUUAUAUCUAUGGUCAUGUCGAGGAGGGACAAGAUUGAGUGGUGAGAAGAUUAGAAUUUGGAUAGAUUCUAAGGCCCUGGCAUGACUCUACAGGGAACCAGGGAAGUGAUGUGUCUCUUCUUCAGUGCGAUUCUCUCUCCGAAGAUAGCUUUGGCAGCCCCCGCCGGCGCACUCGACCUACAGGAAAGUUGCUCCCGAGCUGUGGAGGGGCGUCAUCGCCUCCUAGCAACGCUCCUAGCAACCGGGUAACAUCUGCUCCCUGUGGUCCAAUGCGAGCUGAGAACAGCUGCGCGCCCGCCUAGCGCUGCGAACCCGGAGUGAGAGGCGCUUCAGAGACUGGAGGGACGGACCUGCAGGAGCCAGGGCUGCCCGCCGAGCUGCAGUUGCCGCUACUGCCGCUGUCAGCGCCCGACUGAAGAGUGACAGCCGCAAAAGCAGGAGUGAGCACCGAACCCCGCGCUUCUACCUAACAGGUGCAUGCGCCGAUCUG
rnacentral:lncRNA from 1 species